rnacentral:rRNA from 1 species
GAUGAACGCUAGCGGCAGGCCUAACACAUGCAAGUCGAGGGGCAGCACGUCUUCGGAUGGUGGCGACCGGCGCACGGGUGCGUAACGCGUAUGCAACCUACCUCUUACAGUGGGAUAGCCCAGAGAAAUUUGGAUUAAUACCGCAUAGUAUACAGAUUUAGCAUUGGGACUGUAUUAAACAUUUAUGGGUAAGAGAUGGGCAUGCGUUCUAUUAGUUAGUUGGAGUGGUAACGGCACCCCAAGACAGCGAUAGAUAGGGGCCCUGAGAGGGGGAUCCCCCACACUGGUACUGAGACACGGACCAGACUCCUACGGGAGGCAGCAGUGAGGAAUAUUGGACAAUGGGCGAGAGCCUGAUCCAGCCAUGCCGCGUGCAGGAAGACGGCCCUAUGGGGUUGUAAACUGCUUUUUGUACGGGAAGAAACACCCCCUCGUGAGGGGGCUUGACGGUACCGUAAGAAUAAGGAUCGGCUAACUCCGUGCCAGCAGCCGCGGU